UAAAUUACAUAUUGAAUUUCUCUGGAAUACUUUGAGAAAUCUGGACAUUUCUGGAAUUAUGUUUAUGAAUGCAAGUAUGUCUCAGCGGUUUUGGUUUUGUGGUUUUGGACCACGCUUUUUUUUAGGACAGCAGGAAUAUUUCAUCCACUGUGUGCAAAUUUUUGGCUCAAUAGUCGUUUGAAAGUGGUUGUGCUAAAUAUUGAGCUUAUUUGGAUAAGUGGAGUAUUUGUGGUACGAUUUAGUGAAUUUAUUGCAAGUUUUAGUCAAAAUAAAAGUGCUGAUGCCUAAUAAAUUGCCUCUACUGGAUUUUGCAAAAUCGUAUCAGCAUCGGACACAAAAUUUGGAAAUGUUUUCCGCACAAAGAAGAAAAGGGAAUAGUAAGAAGCAUUCGGACAAGGCAUCCAGUCCUGAUGAUGGACAGCAGAAAGAUGCAGAAAAUACCAAAGUACAAGUACAAGUGGAAGAGUCGUGUUCACAAGGACAAUUGAUGGCAUCUCAAUCACCUCAAAUACCGGAACUGACGCCAGAAUAUCUGCAACUCCUCGACCCCCUAAAAAACAUUUGGUUGUUCAUCAUCCAGCCAAAAGUUGAUGACUAUGGACUUGUCAUUACAGAUUUCUUCCAUCCAAAUACUACUCAUGAAAUUUCUAGCGAUAAGAGAAAUCUCCUUUUGAAAGGCUCAUUCAAACGGAAACUACAACUUUCUACAAAAAAUAAGUCGGCAGGAGGACAAACAACUUCCUCCGUGGCGAUGAGAAAAAUCAAUCUUUCCAAUUUAAGGGGCAAGAAGGUUGCUACUGUCCAGUUUGAAAAUUCAGCUAUGGUCAAUGUAAGUACAAGGUAUUUUAUAACUUUUCAAACUUCCAAUUCCGAAAUUCAACAGGAAGCCGUCAUCGCUUGUCCUGCCGGGUCAAGUCCUAGAUGUCGCGUAAUUAAAUACGGAGGCAAAUUCGAGCCCCCCUCGUACUCGAUAACCAUUCCAGAAUCGGAAAAUACAGAAUUGUUCACAGUAGAAAAUUCUCCAUCCAAUACGCACGGCAGCUCUACCCUUGAUUAUAAUAUUUUUAGACCUAACAAUAAAUUAGUUGGAAGGGUAACGAGCAAAAGUGGGUUAAGCUUCAUGCUCCACAUAGCCGAAGGUGUCACCCCCCUCGAUAAGGCACUCUUACUCGGUUUUGUAAUUGCAAUGGAUAUGCUCAAACAAGGAAAGUCUCGAAGGAAGAAUAACGAAUACGAGAGAUGAAAUAAAGUGCAUGUCGUCGAGUGGUUGGUGGACAAUCAAGAAUGAGACACAUAUAAAUCUGGUAUAAAAUGCCAUCCUAAAAUGAGACGAAGGAACAGUUUUAGUUGAACCAGAAACACGCAGGGGUUUUGUGUUUAUCUGAAAUUGUGAGAAAUAUAUAAAUAUGAAGAUUUCGAUAUGGGCGUUCGUUUUGAUUGUUGUAUUGGUCGUGGUGUGUUUAACGCCGAGCGAGGUGGAAGGAGGCAAGAUUAUCAAGAAGAUAUUCAAAAAGUUUAAAGGCGGUGGGGGUGGGAAAGGUGGUGGGCAUGGAGGAGGUGGGUACGGGAAGGGUGGUGGUG